rnacentral:lncRNA from 10 species
CUGAAAUAUUCUCUAAGUGGCCUGUUAGUGUAUUAAAAUUUCCUCUUAAACCUUUUUAUUUUUAUGUUUUUUUAAAGCUCCUAGUGGAAGGUUUGGCUACAUAAAAUGUAUUUCAUAAAGUUUGACUCUGAAGCAUAAUGCCAAUUGCACAGUUGCCCACAUUGAGCUAUGAGUGGGCAGCGUUUUGUAACCAUGGAUAUGGUGAACUUAAUGUGAGAGCCAUAUUCAUCUGAGGCUUGCAAGGGUUGGACAGUGCCCUACCUAGAUAUUCUUUACUGGGUCAGUGAGCGAUCUCCAGCUGCCAGGUGAUGUCAGCUCACUCCAAAGAAUUGGCCUUGUCUGACAGAAGUAUGCCCAAUAAAAUGUAUGCAUAUGAAUCACUGUCUUAAAUUCUACUUCUAGAAAAUCCAAACUAUGAGACUCUUAUUAAGAAAAAUAAGCAGUAUUUUUCUGAAAUUCUUAUUCUUUCUUUUUUUCCCAAUAUAAAAGGUUUUUUCUUCUUUUGCUAGUAUUGCAGAUUUUGUUUCACAUAGCAUUCUUUCUCUCUCUCUUUCGCUCCCUCUCUCUUAGUCUGUCUGUCAGCGGUCAGGGAUUAUUAUCAGUCUGUCAUCGGUCAGGGAUUAUUUGAUUUAACCUUCACAGUGGUUUUAGCAGAUAGGGAGCAUUAUCAUAACUAGUUUUGUUUUGACAACAGUUGGAGUAGCUGUAAAUUGGAUAAUAUAAAUAUUGGCCAAGGUCACACAUUUAGUAAGUGGUGCAGUUGAGAUUGCAAUCUGGUCUGUCUGACUCUGGAGUAACGGAACUCUUAACUGCUAUGCCGCACUGCGUCCCCUUAUAAUUUAGGGAGCCCAGUGUUGGUGAACGGUAGGACCUAUCACCAGCUCCCUCAUAGUCCAAUUAGAUGCUGAUCAAAUAUCCUUUUCAAAUAUUCAGGCACAGAGAAUUGGGCAAAUUAUAUAUGUAGGGAGAAUGUAUAUGAAUAUGCUUUACACGUCUAUAUAAUUUAAUGAAAUUCAUCCAGGUAUGUUCAUUUGGGGCAAUAUCCUUGUGAGGCAUUGUGGAAAUAAACUAAUGAUUUCAAACAGAAAGCAAAAGAAAAACGGGAUGGUAGGAGUUCUGUUAGACAGGUAUUCUGUCCUUUCCCCUACCUACUAACUUAAUGCAACUUUGCAAAUCUAUAGUAGGUUUUCUUUAGGACUACACUGCUCUGGUCCUUUGUUUAUGUUUUUCUCUAAUCCAUUGUGGAUUCUAAUGCCCUCAGUACUGAAUAAUAAACACAAGUCUGAUAGUAGGGGCUACCUAAUGAACUCUAUACCCUAUAUCUGCAUUUGUAUAUUUUUUCUUAAUUUAUGUUAGCUUCUUUGGUCUAAAGGUAGGAACUUAAACUUCCUAAUAUUUAUUUUCACUUGCAUUAAUGAUCUUUUGUUUAGAAUUAUUUAUGUACUCAUAAUAUUGCUCCUUAAUGUAUUCUCAAAUGUGUUACUUGGAAUCUUUCUUACAGAACUUUGGCAUGUUUCUAUGUUUAUACUUCUGGGUUUUUUUUUAAUUCUUUAAUUAUCUAAAUUUUUAAUAUCUGAAUUAUUUAAUUUUGUAUAUAUCUUUUAUUCUCAUCAAUGUUUACCUGGAAUAGUACAGGGACAAAUUCCAAUAUUCUUACUUACCACAGCAUAUUACUUGGCAAGUCCUCAGAUUUAUCAGUAUUAUAUUUGAAGAUAAAGAACUAUCUAAUAAAAUAGAAUAAAGACAUUCAAAAGUUAAAUUUUAAAAAUUUCAUCAGUGGAUUUUAAUUGGGAAAUAUGCAUGUUUCAAUAAACACUAUAAAUUGUUUCUGGAACCUGUGCAUCUUUCUUCUGCCAAAUUGCAUUUGGAACAUUUUUAUGAAAUUAAUUGUACAACCUUGUUAAUGAGUAUUCUUUUUGCAGCUCAUCAUAAUUUUUAGAGGUCAUUAUGAUUUUGUCACAUUAUUUUAAUCACUUAUUUGCAUAUUAUUUGUAUAAUUUGGUAAAAAUGAGACAUUAAAAUAAAUAAUGAGAUGAAAAUUAGUUUCUUGGAAAAAACAUCUCUCAUUCCUCUGGAAUGAGUUGCAUGUCUUUGUUCAAGUUUGUUUGCUAUUGUUGUACGUUUUUAAAAUCGUGAUUAAUACAUAGUAAACAACAUUAUAGGUUGUUUAUUAAUUUCAAAUACACAGAGUUUUUUCCUGAAAUAAAUAUGAUCAGAUAGUAGACAUGGAUUUGAUAACUUUAAACUGAAAUAUAUAGUUAUUUAAUUUAAAAUCAAACCUACAAAAAUUGUAAAGAGAUACAGAAGGCACUGACUUAUUUGGUGUCUUUAAGAACAAAAGUGGGCGAAGGACAUGAACAGACA